CCGUAUGCCCAUGACAAACCCAACCCUUUAUGUCUUUUCAUAUUCUAGUGUUUUACUUUUGUAUUUCUAAGAAGUACGACGUUUCAGAAAUAUCAAACACAUGAAAUGCCUCAAAAUGUAC